rnacentral:rRNA from 1 species
AGAGUUUGAUCAUGGCUCAGAUUGAACGCUGGCGGCAUGCCUUACACAUGCAAGUCGAACGGCAGCGCGGGAGCAAUCCUGGCGGCGAGUGGCGAACGGGUGAGUAAUAUAUCGGAACGUGCCCUGUAGCGGGGGAUAACCUAUCGAAAGAUGGACUAAUACCGCAUACGCUCUACGGAGGAAAGCGGGGGUCGCAAGACCUCGCACUAUAGGAGCGGCCGAUAUCGGAUUAGCUAGUUGGCGGGGUAAAAGCCCACCAAGGCGACGAUCCGUAGCUGGUCUGAGAGGAUGAUCAGCCACACUGGAACUGAGACACGGUCCAGACUCCUACGGGAGGCAGCAGUGGGGAAUUUUGGACAAUGGGCGCAAGCCUGAUCCAGCCAUGCCGCGUGAGUGAAGAAGGCCUUCGGGUUGUAAAGCUCUUUCGGCAGGAACGAAAUGGUUCGUGCUAAUACCACGGACUGAUGACGGUACCUGAAGAAGAAGCACCGGCUAACUACGUGCCAGCAGCCGCGGUAAUACGUAGGGUGCAGGCGUUAAUCGGAAUUACUGGGCGUAAAGCGUGCGCAGGCGGUUUCUUAAGUCAGAUGUGAAAGCCCCGGGCUUAACCUGGGAACUGCGUUUGAAACUGGGAGACUUGAGUGUGGCAGAGGGGGGUGGAAUUCCACGUGUAGCAGUGAAAUGCGUAGAUAUGUGGAGGAACACCGAUGGCGAAGGCAGCCCCCUGGGUUAACACUGACGCUCAUGCACGAAAGCGUGGGGAGCAAACAGGAUUAGAUACCCCAGUAGUCC